GAGUUUGAUCAUGGCUCAGAUUGAACGCUGGCGGCAGGCUUAACACAUGCAAGUCGAGCGGAAACGAAGGUAGCUUGCUAUCAGGCGUCGAGCGGCGGACGGGUGAGUAACGCGUGGGAAUUUGCCUAGUAGUGGGGGAUAGCCCAGAGAAAUUUGGAUUAAUACCGCAUAAGCCCUACAGUAAAGGUGGCCUCUCCUUGGAAGCUAUCGCUAUUAGAUAAGCCCGCGUCAGAUUAGCUAGUUGGUGAGGUAAAGGCUCACCAAGGCGACGAUCUGUAGCUGGUCUGAGAGGAUGAUCAGCCACACUGGAACUGAGACACGGUCCAGACUCCUACGGGAGGCAGCAGUGGGGAAUAUUGCGCAAUGGGGGAAACCCUGAUGCAGCCAUGCCGCGUGUGUGAUGAAGGCCCUAGGGUCGUAAAGCACUUUCGCCAGAGAUGAUAAUGACAGUAUCUGGUAAAGAAACCCCGGCUAACUCCGUGCCAGCAGCCGCGGUAAUACGGAGGGGGUUAGCGUUGUUCGGAAUUACUGGGCGUAAAGCGUACGUAGGCGGAUUAGAAAGUAUGGGGUGAAAUCCCAGGGCUCAACCCUGGAACUGCCUCAUAAACUACUAGUCUAGAGUUCGAGAGAGGUGAGUGGAAUUCCGAGUGUAGAGGUGAAAUUCGUAGAUAUUCGGAGGAACACCAGUGGCGAAGGCGGCUCACUGGCUCGAUACUGACGCUGAGGUACGAAAGUGUGGGGAGCAAACAGGAUUAGAUACCCUGGUAGUCCACACCGUAAACGAUGAAUGCCAGUCGUCGGGUUGCAUGCAAUAGCGGCCAAGCGAAAGUAUUAAGCAUACCGCCUGGGGAGUACGGCCGCAAGGCUAAAACUCAAAUGAAUUGACGGGGGCCCGCACAAGCGGUGGAGCAUGUGGUUUAAUUCGAUCCAACGCGAAGAACCUUACCUGGUCUUGACAUCCUACGAACUUACUAGAAAUAGUUUGGUGCCUUCGGGAACGUAGUAACAGGUGCUGCAUGGCUGUCGUCAGCUCGUGUCGUGAGAUGUUGGGUUAAGUCCCGUAACGAGCGCAACCCUUGCCCUUAGUUGCCAGCAUUUAGUUGGGCACUUUAGGGGGACUGCCGGUGACAAACCGGAGGAAGGUGGGGACGACGUCAAGUCAUCAUGGCCCUUACGACCAGGGCUACACACGUGCUACAAUGGAGCGUACAAAGGGUUGCGACCUCGCGAGAGUGAGCUAAUCCCAUAAAACGUUUCGUAGUCCGGAUCGCAGUCUGCAACUCGACUGCGUGAAGUCGGAAUCGCUAGUAAUCGUAGAUCAGAAUGCUACGGUGAAUACGUUCCCGGGCCUUGUACACACCGCCCGUCACACCAUGGGAGUGGGUUGCAAAAGAAGUGGGUAGCAUAACCUUCGGGAGUGCGCUCACCACUUUGUGAUUCAUGACUGGGGUGAAGUCGUAACAAGGUAACC
rnacentral:rRNA from 1 species